AGAAACUAUUCUCGUUUUUGUAAUAGAAAUUCAGAGUUACAGAUUAAGUUAAGUCAUUGAUAUAAGAAAAUAUAUAACAAAAAAAAUUGUUACUAGUAUUCUGCAUUUUCAUUGGUUUACUAUUGGCGUGCGACUUUUUGUGUAAACCAAUGAUAACGGGAAGACCGCCCACAGAUUAGGUUUGACCAAUCAGAUUUGGAGUUUAAUUAAAGGAGUGUCUGUUUAAAGACAAAUGAAUUGAAAUAGAAAAUUCCUAAAAUUCCCAUUAAAGGGAAUCGCUUUUUUGUAUGUUAAUUUAUUGACCUUGGAG
rnacentral:lncRNA from 1 species